UUAGGUGAGCUGUGAUCGACAGUUAUCACAACCUAUUAGGGAGUGGCAGUCCCCUUUUAAGCGGCGAUUGGCUGCUGCCCGAAAUGCGUCAUGUCCGGCUUUCCCCCUUGGUGUUCGCAACGAUAGCGACAGAGCGUUUGUCUAUCGUGCUGGUGCCCUCCUGUACUUGAGUGGGUUAAAUGACUGUUUACCCUCAGUUAGCUGUUGUUUACCUGAUGUUGGUAAACCUGUGCUGUAAACUGUAAUGUGUCUGAGGUGAUGCCACUGUUUGGAUUCUCCCUUUUGUUCUACGCCGUGCUUCCUUUAUUGAUGAGUUUGAUUUUCGCGCUGCUGUGUCGUACCGCUAAACGACGUCACUAUCUUUACCGUGAUACCAUGGACUGUACACUGUCUGGUUUCUAAACUUUACUGCAAAAUUCUAUUUCUCAGUGGAGGACUGUCCAGCACAUUGAAGCUGGCGUAUGGACUUUGUGUUCGCGCCGUAUGAUUUCUUCUGUGUAGCCCAUUUGCCAUUUAUUGGUGUGUGUUGCUUUACUUUUAGGGGCUGGGGGUUUCCACGGGCAAAGGAUCUUGUAAUGGUGGUGGUACAGCGUCAAUGGUUGCCGUGCUACACCUUUUUGCUGUGUACGAGUGUGUGUGCUCUGAAUUCACGGUGUGGUGUGUGAGUGCUUUUUUUGAUAAUUUGCGCCAGUGAUCACUCCUGUGGGAACCUCAGCCCUGUAAGUUGAUGUUUUGUGUUUUUUUAUUUAUGUUGACUGUUGCCAGUCAUUGUUUUUUUGUAGAAAUUAUAUUUUCUUUUCUACAGUCGUUUUGUACUUUUGUAUAAUUUUGUUUUGUGUGAUAAUGUGAUGUUUUAAGAUAAUCUGUUUUGUGUCUUUUAUGGUUGGAUUGUAAGAGAGCUGUGUGUGGAGUAACAUCAGUCUGUGCCUGUUUUAAGUCAUUCUCCGACCUCAAUGAAGGUUAUAAAAAUAAAUCUUAUAUUUUUGUAUUAUACCCACGUCUCCUGCUCAUUGCUCUUGUUCUGAGGAAUGAACUUGUGUGCCUUACCACCUUUUUGGGUGUAAGGAUUAUUUCCCUGGGUGUAAGUCCCGGGGUGGCGUAGUCGGAGUUUUAUGCAAAAUCUUUGCUUUCGUCACAAAGCUUUCCCCCAACCCCCUCGUCAUGCCACAUA